rnacentral:rRNA from 1 species
UACGUAGGGGGCGAGCGUUAUCCGGAUUCACUGGGUGUAAAGGGAGCGUAGACGGCCAUGCAAGCCAGGGGUGAAAGCCCGGGGCCCAACCCCGGGACUGCCCUUGGAACUGCAUGGCUGGAGUGCGGGAGGGGCAGGCGGAAUUCCUGGUGUAGUGGUGAAAUGCGUAGAUAUCAGGAGGAACACCGGCGGCGAAGGCGGCCUGCUGGACCGCGACUGACGUUGAGGCUCGAAAGCGUGGGGAGCGAACAGG